UCCUUCAUCCUCUAUCUCUUCCCAGACUUCUCAUCCGCUUUCUCUUCUCUCUAACAACAACCUCUGCCUUCUCUCUAACAACAACCUCCCUAUACCACCAUAAGACCGUCGUGGAUUGGCCGUUUCCGGUUGAAGAUCAACCGGAAAAACCAUGUCUUCAACCCGUAACAACAAAUCCAGAACCAAGAACACCACAAAUCAUAUUAAACCCUAACCCUUUUAGAGCCCUAGAUCUAAAUCUCCCAGUAUCAACAAUUCAUGCAAACAACGCAACAAUCACGACGUGUUAUAUUAAGCUACGUAUUCACCAACCCGGACCAGAAUGA